UGGGGGAUAUUGCACAAUGGGGGGGAACCCGUGAUGCAGCGACGCCGCGUGGAGGAAGAAGUAUCUCGGUAUGUAAACUCCUAUCAGCAGGGAAGAAGACAGACGGUACCUGACUAAGAAGCCCCGGCUAACUACGUGCC
rnacentral:rRNA from 1 species